UCUGACCAGCCAUGCCGCGUGCAGGAAGACGGCCCUUACGGGUUGUAAACUGCUUUUGUACCGGAAUAAACCCCCGAACGUGUUCGGGGCUGAAUGUACGGUAAGAAUAAGGAUCGGCUAACUCCGUGCCAGCAGCCGCGGUAAUACGGAGGAUCCAAGCGUUAUCCGGAUUUAUUGGGUUUAAAGGGUGCGUAGGCGGCCUAUUAAGUCAGGGGUGAAAGACGGUAGCUCAACUAUCGCAGUGCCUUUGAUACUGAUGGGCUUGAAUGCAGCUGAGGUAGGCGGAAUGUGACAAGUAGCGGUGAAAUGCAUAGAUAUGUCACAGAACACCGAUUGCGAAGGCAGCUUACUAAAGUGCGAUUGACGCUGAGGCACGAAAGCGUGGGGAUCAAACAGGAUUAGAUACCCUGGUAGUCCACGCCCUAAACGAUGAACACUCGAUGUUGGCGAUAUACGGUCAGCGUCUAAGCGAAAGCGUUAAGUGUUCCACCUGGGGAGUACGCCCGCAAGGGUGAAACUCAAAGGAAUUGACGGGGGCCCGCACAAGCGGAGGAGCAUGUGGUUUAAUUCGAUGAUACGCGAGGAACCUUACCCGGGCUUGAAAGUUAGUGAAUAGAGCAGAGACGCUCU
rnacentral:rRNA from 1 species